GUCCCCUUCGUCUAGCGGUUAGGACGUCGCCCUCUCAAGGCGGAAACAGGGGUUCGAUUCCCCUAGGGGAUGCCA
rnacentral:tRNA from 1 species